UACAGAGGUCUCGAGCGUUAGGCGGAAUCACUGGGCUUAAAGCGUGUGUAGGCGGUUUGCUAAGUACCUUGUGAAAUCCCACGGCUCAACCGUGGAACUGCUUGGUAUACUGGUUAUCUUGAGCCACUUAGGGGCGAGCGGAACAAAUGGUGGAGCGGUGAAAUGCGCAGAUAUCAUUUGGAACACCAAUGGUGAAAACAGCUCGCUGGGAGUGUGCUGACGCUGAGACACGAAAGCCAGGGGAGCGAACGGG
rnacentral:rRNA from 1 species